rnacentral:rRNA from 1 species
UGGGGAAUUUUGGACAAUGGGCGAAAGCCUGAUCCAGCAAUGCCGCGUGUGUGAAGAAGGCCUUCGGGUUGUAAAGCACUUUUGUCCGGAAAGAAAUCCUUGGCUCUAAUACAGUCGGGGGAUGACGGUACCGGAAGAAUAAGCACCGGCUAACUACGUGCCAGCAGCCGCGGUAAUACGUAGGGUGCAAGCGUUAAUCGGAAUUACUGGGCGUAAAGCGUGCGCAGGCGGUUUGCUAAGACCGAUGUGAAAUCCCGGGCUCAACCUGGGAACUGCAUUGGUGACUGGCAGGCUAGAGUAUGGCAGAGGGGGUAGAAUUCCACGUGUGAGCAGUGAAGUGCGUAGAGAUGUGGAGGAAUACCGAUGGCGAAGGCAGCCCCUGGGCCAAGUACUGACGCUCAUGCACGAAAGCGUGGGGA